rnacentral:rRNA from 1 species
UUUUGAACUUGUUUCGAGUUGGGAAUGCUGCGUCCCUUCAAAGGGUCAGCUUUUCCUUGUAUUUUCCUAGGUUUAUGUUGUUUUUCACAAACUCUCAAAAGUGUUUAGAAUGGUUUGAAUCAUAUAUAAUAUAUAUACAACUUUCAGCAACGGAUCUCUUGGCUCUCGCAUCGAUGAAGAACGCAGCGAAAUGCGAUAAGUAAUGUGAAUUGCAGAAUUCAGUGAAUCAUCGAAUCUUUGAACGCAUCUUGCGCUCCUUGGUAUUCCGAGGAGCAUGCCUGUUUGAGUGUCAUUUUAACUUGUCUCAACUGCAUCAGGAUUGAUGUGGCUUGGAUGUGGGAGAAAAUUUAUUUGCAGGCUUCUCACAGAGGUCGGCUCUCCUGAAAUGCAUUAGUGGUGAACCUUGAGCUGCUAUUAUAGGUGUUGAUAAAUCUAUCUAAUACGCCUUUGGUAUGCUGGAUUGCAACUGCUUCAAACAUUUUUCUUUUGAUGAAUUUGACCUCAAAUCAGGUAGGGCUACCCGCUGAACUUAAGCAUAUCAAUAAGCGGAGGAAAAGAAACUAACAAGGAUUCCCC